GAGUUUGAUCAUGGCUCAGGAUGAACGCUAGCUACAGGCUUAACACAUGCAAGUCGAGGGGCAGCAUGAAGUCAGCUUGCUGACUUUGAUGGCGACCGGCGCACGGGUGCGUAACGCGUAUCCAAUCUACCGCAUACUCGGGGAUAGCCUUGCGAAAGUAAGAUUAAUACCCGAUGUUGUGGAGUCUCCGCAUGAAGGCUUCACCAAAGAAUUUCGGUAUGCGAUGAGGAUGCGUCCCAUUAGGUAGUAGGCGGGGUAACGGCCCACCUAGCCAUCGAUGGGUAGGGGUUCUGAGAGGAAGGUCCCCCACAUUGGAACUGAGCCAGGAUCAAACUC
rnacentral:rRNA from 1 species